UACGUAGGGGUGCAACGUUAAUCGGAAUUACUGGGCGUAAAGGGCGCGUAGGCGGAUAGUUUAGUUGGGGGUGAAAGCCCGGGGCUCAACCUCGGAAUUGCCUUCAAUACUGGCUAUCUUGAGUGUGAGAGAGGUGUGUGGAACUCCGAGUGUAGAGGUGAAAUUCGUAGAUAUUCGGAAGAGCACCAGUGGCGAAGGCGACACACUGGCUCACUACUGACGCUGAGGCGCGAAAGCGUGGGGAGCAAACAGG
rnacentral:rRNA from 1 species